GAUGAACGCUGGCGGCGUGCUUAACACAUGCAAGUCGAACGAUGAAGCCCAGCUUGGUGGGUGUGUUAGUGGCGAACGGGUGAGUAACACGUGAGUAACCUGCCCUUAACUCUGGGAUAAGCCUGGGAAACUGGGGCUAUUACCGGAUAGGAGCGCCUACCGCAUGGUGGGGGUGGGGAAGAUUUAUCGGUUUUGGAUGGACUCGCGGCCUAUCAGCUUGUUGGUGGGGUAAUGGCUCACCAAGGCGAUGUCGGGUAGCCGGGCUUAGAGGGGGACCGGCCAAACUGGGAACGAGACACGGCCCCGACUCCUACGGGAGGGCACAGUGGGGGAUAUUGCACAAUGGGCGGAAGCCCGAAGGAGCGACGCCGCGUGAGGGAUGACGGCCUUCGGGUUGGAAACCUCCUUCAGUAGGGAAGAAGCGAAAGGGACGGUAACUGCAGAAGAAGCAACGGCUAACUACGUG
rnacentral:rRNA from 1 species